rnacentral:tRNA from 3 species
GGAGAGGUGGCAGAGUGGUCGAUUGCGGCGGUCUUGAAAACCGUUGUGCUGCGAGGCACCCGGGGUUCGAAUCCCUGUCUCUCCGCCA